rnacentral:lncRNA from 1 species
AAGAGUGUUGUAUACCUUUGAGGUCUGUUGGUUAUCCCUAUUUAUAGGACAAGGUUGGGAUCAUAAGGGGGAAAAGCAAUGGGAGACCUCUCUGUCUCCAUCGAGCACAUCCUCAAAAUUCUCAUUCUGAUUUUUAGGGAUUUAGUGGAUGGCAUCACCUCAUCCAAUAUGUGACCAGCUGCUUCUAUUAAUAAUCGCAGUCAGAGUCUCUGGGACCUGAUGGUUGAUGUGACUU